GAUUCCAUUCUAAGCGGUGGAUCACUAGGCUCGCGGGUCGAUGAAGAACGGGGCCAGCCCCGAGAAUAAGUGCGAAUUGCAGACACAAAGAGCAUCGACUUUUCGAACGCAUAUUGCGGUAUCAGGCCAACCUGAUACCACGCCUAUCUGAGGGUCGAAU
rnacentral:rRNA from 1 species